UACGGAGGGUGCAAACGUUGCUCGGAAUCAUUGGGCGUAAAGCGCGCGUAGGCGGCUUGACAAGUUGGAUGUGAAAGCCCUGGGCUCAACCCAGGAUGUGCAUUCAAAACUGUCUGGCUUGAAUCUCGGAGGGGGUCAGGGAAUUCCCGGUGUAGAGGUGAAAUUCGUAGAUAUCGGGAGGAACACCAGUGGCGAAGGCGACUACCUGGCCUGUUCUUGACGCUGAGGCGCGAAAGCUAGGGGAGCAAACGGG
rnacentral:rRNA from 1 species